rnacentral:lncRNA from 1 species
UAUACUCUCCCUAUAUAUAUGAAUCUAAACUGGAUGCGCUAGCUGAUCUCAAUUGCCACCAACCGAAUAAUAUGAAUCUAUAGGUUAGCUACAGUUCAUGUCAUUGCAUAACGCCCAAAAGUUUGAUGCUGAUCGAGUGAUAGAUGAUGAACCAGCUAAUCAAAUUUGCAACUUGCAGAAAAAAAAUAAUUAACUUGCAGAUCUUCACAUGAACACCGAACCCACCAUUAGGCUAGGCUUGCC